GGCGCGACGAGCGCGGCCGGUCCUGUCCCGUCGUGCGUGCAGGUUUUGAGGUUGUAGAACUUCAAAUCCCAGAUCGAGACGCAAUUCUGGGCAGAAGGAAGGCAGCAAGCAGAGAGAGCUUCUCUCUGAUGAAUCUCAAAAUCAAGAGAUUUCUGCAGCGAAGAUUUAUCAGCCUCAAGAUCCCCAAUGCCGGCUGUUUUAAGAAAACUAAGGCAUCUGGCUCUGUACAUGACACUGCUGAGUGGAGGGGGAUGCACGCUCAUGUAUUACCUUAUGCAGAAAAACUUCGCCAAGUCUGAGUUCUACCAGUUGGCUCUCGAGGAGCUGAAGAGGCAGCCCGCUGUCCUCGAGGCCCUCGGCGCUCCUCCCCUUAAGGUCCAUCACAUCAGCCUAACUGACCGGCACAACCGAAUCGAUGUGUCGGGAGCCCAGAUGAAGGUGCCCGUCUCUGGAUCCAAGACGGCUGGCGAGCUGUACAUCCACGCCCUCAGAGAUGUCCCCGGGAAGAGGUGGAAUCUGCAGGAGGUCAUCCUCCACCUCAAGGACGGCCAGCGCGUUCCCGUGUACCAGGCGGGGGUGGAAAAGGAGGCCGGGGGGAAAAGCCUUUGAGCCCCCCGACGCGUGACGGACUCCGUGAUGAGCGGCGUCCUCUUCAAAGAGCCAGCAGGCAAGGCUCACUUCAGUGGAGUGGAUCCGUUUCCAGCCUUCUGGUCUCCCUUCCAGGGGAAGGCUUUGGAGGGAUUUGGAUUGGACUGAACCCUGAGCUUCCGUCAGAACUCUUCUUCCUGGCAUGGCCUUAGUCUCAAGCCAAGUUCCUCCGCUGCUGAGGGGAAAGGAAGCCUCAAGAGAUGAGAAUGCCGCUGACGGGAAGUGAAACUCCGAGCUCGCUUGCUGUUUCUUCACUGCAGGAGUGUUCUCCGAGUGUAGAGGAGGAAGGAGUCCGUGAGUGCCAAAGCCACUUUUUCUCCAGAGUGUGUGGCCCCUGCUUAAUAACCCCUUCACUGUGACGUCGGCAUUGGUGCCCACUUGCCCAUGUCGCAUGACGCUCAGGAGCGAGGUGGGCGGCAAGCACCCCUCCUUUCCAUGCCCCCCAUGCCAGGGUGGCUUAGGAUACUGACCCUGGGGGAGCCUUUGAAAUUCUGGGGGAGCCCCAAACACGGGGAGAGGAAGGAUUUGCUACCAUCGCAAAGUUGAGCGCGUUUUCUUGCAGGUAACACAUGCUAUUAGAGGUGGCUGGGGAAAGGGCAGAGUUUAGCCUUCUCUUCCCCCUUUGGAAAAGCAGCAUGGCCUCA